GACGAACGCUGGCGGCGUGCUUAACACAUGCAAGUCGAACGGAAAGGCCCUGCUUUUGUGGGGUGCUCGAGUGGCGAACGGGUGAGUAACACGUGAGUAACCUGCCCUUGACUUUGGGAUAACUUCAGGAAACUGGGGCUAAUACCGGAUAGGAGCUCCUGAUGCAUGGUGGGGGUUGGAAAGUUUCGGCGGUUGGGGAUGGACUCGCGGCUUAGCAGCUUGUUGGUGGGGUAGUGGCUUACCAAGGCUUUGACGGGUAGCCGGCCUGGGAGGGUGACCGGCCACAGUGGGACUGAGAUACGGCCCGGACUCCUACGUGGGGCAGCAGUGGGAAAUAUUGCACAAUGGGCGGAAGCCGGAUGCAGCAACGCCGCGUGCGAGAUGACGGCCUUCGGGUUGUAAACCGCUUUCGCCUGUGACGAAGCGUGAGUGACGGUAAUGGGUAAAGAAGCACCGGCUAACUACGUG
rnacentral:rRNA from 1 species